rnacentral:rRNA from 1 species
AUUAGUUUUUUAAUUGAAAACUGGUAUGAAAGGUUCGACAAAGGAAAGACUGUCUUCAUGUGUUAAAAAUAAAAAUUAACUUUUAGGUUAAAAGGCUUAAAUAAUUCAGGGGGACGACAAGACCCUAUAAAUCUUCAUAUGCCGUUGUAUUUAAUCAAAUUAUGAUGUAAAGAUUAAUUGGAAUUGGUUUAUUUUGUUGGGGCGACAAAAGUAUAAUUUCUUGGGUAACUGCUAUUAAUUUUAUACAGUAAUAGCUGAAGUAAGUUUAAAAGAUCCUUAUUAAAGAUUCAAAAAUCAAGUUACUUUAGGGAUAACAGCGUAAUUUCUUUUGAGAGUCCAUAUCGAAAAAGAAGAUUGCGACCUCGAUGUUGAAUUAAGAUUUCUUUACCGUGCAGCCGCAGUAAAAAGAAGGUCUGUUCGACCUUUAAAAUCUUACAUGAUUUGAGUUCAGACCGGCGUGAGCCAGGUUG